AGGGCUCCUGUCAACUCCCCCACUGUGGCAGAUUGGAUUGUACCUUCUGAAGACGGCCAAAAUAACAGCUCCCAUCCCGCAUGCUCUUCUGCCAUGGGACUUGCUGCUCUCCCACCGAGAGGUGACAAGGUAGCACAUUUGUACAUAAUAAGGCUGGCCUGGGGAUGGAGGGAGUCCCUGCCCUGACUGUGACUCAGUGAGACUCUUUGCCUGGUCCUAGUCCAAGAGAAACGCAUGCUAUGAUCUCACUGAAGUCUGAAGUGACUCUGAAACUUUGCAGUAAAAAGAAAAUUUCAUCCUUUAAGAUGGUGAGUUACCAGAGAAGUCACAAGGAUAAAAUGAAUGAUGGAGGUUUCUGGAAGAUGUUAUCACCACAUUCAUAGCAUCUAGCCUUUCGUAUACAUUGGGAUGGAAUGGGUAAGAGACAGGCUUGGGGCUCAGUCUCCUAACUGGUUAGUAACUAAAGAUGCCUUGGAGAGGAGAGUUGAGAGUCCAUAUUUUUCACAGAAAUUCUUUUUGAGCCACAUUGACAUUCCUAAAACACCGCACAUACUGAUGCUAUGAUUUCACGGUCAUUUGGUCUCUAAUACCCACAAACUUUGCCUGCCCCUAGCAUAGUUUUACAGCGUUUGUUUAAAAACAACACCCCAAACUAAAACCUUACCUGCAUAAACCAAGCAUAUCUGUGGUUUGGAAAACAGGCCAGGAGUCUAGAGUUCUAUUUCUAACUAUGCAGCUAACUUCCCAGGUGGACUGGAAGAAAUCCUUGAUUCCUUUGCUCCUUAGUUUCUUCAUAUUCAUCCAUCCUUCUGAAAGGUAUUCCUUAAGUACUGGGACCCUGUGGAUACAAAAAUAAAUAGAACCUAGCUCCUUUGUCAAGAUCCUUGGAAUUUAGGGGAAAAGACAAACAAUAAUUGAAGAUUGCAAUCCAGUGUGAGUGGCCCUGGAACCACGGCAGCCAUAUUGCCACCAGCUGGAAGACGAAGCCAACGGUGGGAGAAGACAGAGCUGGUCGAAUCCCCCAGGAGUAAAAUGCAGCCUGUAGUACCCUUCCUGGAUUGUAUCUUACUUGGAGUCUUCUUGUUCUGGGAGGCAAUAAAUUUCUUUGUUAUUUAAGCCAUGAUGAAUCAGCGUUUUCAAUUAUUUGCAGCCAAAAGCAUCCUAAGCAAUAGCCAAGUAUGCAUGGAAGUUCAUGCACUUCUCUCACAGAACAUUAUGUCAGACAUUUAGUUCUAGGAAACAGGCUUAUCUGAUUUCUCAGUUCUAGGAAGCAGGCUUAUCUGAUUUCCUAGUUUCUGGCAGAUUAGAAAUAACUUUCUCUAUUCUCUAGAAAUAGAGAAAGUUAGAGACAGGCA
rnacentral:lncRNA from 1 species